GACAGAGGCCUCAAGCGUUAGGCGGAAUCACUGGGCUUAAAGCGUGUGUAGGCGGAUCGUUAAGUGUCUUGUGAAAUCCCCACGGCUCACCCGUGGAACUGCUGGGCAUACUGGCGAUCUUGGGCCAACUAGGGGCAACUGGAACAAGCGGUGGAGCGGUGAAAUGCGUAGAUAUCGCUUGGAACGCCGAAGGUGAAAACAGGUUGCUGGGGUUG
rnacentral:rRNA from 1 species